rnacentral:rRNA from 1 species
GUGAGGAAUAUUGCGCAAUGGAGGCAACUCUGACGCAGCCAUGCCGCGUGCAGGAAGAAGGCGCUACGCGUUGUAAACUGCUUUUAACCGGGAAGAAACCCCAGGACGUGUCCUGGGUUGACGGUACCGGAGGAAUAAGCACCGGCUAACUUCGUGCCAGCAGCCGCGGUAAUACGAAGGGUGCAAGCGUUAUCCGGAUUCAUUGGGUUUAAAGGGUGCGUAGGCGGAGCGUUAAGUCAGUGGUGAAAUCCUGCAGCUUAACUGUAGACUUGCCAUUGAUACUGGCGCUCUUGAGUGCGCUUGAAGGGGGCGGAAUGUGCCGUGUAGCGGUGAAAUGCUUAGAUAUGGCACAGAACACCAAUUGCGAAGGCAGCUCACUAAGGCGAUACUGACGCUGAGGCACGAAAGCGUGGGGAUCGAACAGGAUUAGAAACCCCGGUAGUCC